rnacentral:misc_RNA from 1 species
UCCAUCCUUGCAGGUCGAGAAGUCGAAGUCAUCACAGAUAUUCACGAUCACGAUCACGAAGUCCGUACAGGCGGAGACAUGGCGGAAAAUUUAGUCACAGUUAUCGUGGCCACAGACGCAGUCACAGCCGGUCUCCUAUGUCAAGCAGAAGAAGACAUAUUGGAAACAGGGACGACCCAGAGCCGACGCGGUGUUUGGGAGUGUUCGGCUUGAGUCUUCACACACAGGACCGGGAGCUCCGAGACGUGUUUGCCAGAUACGGAUCCAUUGACGAGUGCAACAUUGUGUAUGACAGACAGAGUGGUCGUUCCCGUGGAUUUGCUUUUGUUUACUUCAGGAAUGUUGAUGAUGCUGUUGAGGCCAAGGAUAGGUGUAAUGGUCUGGAGAUAGAUGGGCGGAGAAUUCGAGUUGAUUAUUCCAUCACAGAAAGAGCACAUACCCCCACCCCGGGCAUUUACUUGGGGAAGCCAACAUCGUCCAAGCGCUCAUAUCGGUCUCCCUCACCUCAACACUACAGCUACAGACGACGAUCCCCAUCCCCCUACUACCGCAGGAGGUCUCGAACACGCUCACGAUCAAGGUCCUACAGCCCACGUAUUGAAGAAAGAAACAUGAAGUAUUUGAAGAAUGAAUCUUGAAGAUUUGAGCUCUUUAAAAGAAAAUUGAAUGGGAAAAGAAAGGGGAAAAUGAAUUUUGAAGUUUGGAAAAAGAUGUCUGAAAAAGCUUGAAAAUUGAAGAAAGGGUGUUGAAUAUUGCAGUUUAGGCUCGCCAGAAGAUUAUAAUGAAAAAUGAAGAUUUGGGAAUUGGAGUGGGAGGAAGCUUUGUCGAAUUUGAAGUAUUUAGAAUUGAAGAUGGAGGAAGAGUAGAUUAUUGGCAUGAAAAAACCAAAUUGACCCGACUCAGUGGCUAAUGCAUUUGGAAAUCGUUCAUGUCCAGUGACGAGAUGUAGGUCCAGUACAUUUUUACCAGGCAAAUAUUGGAUGGACAGGAGAUGAUGGGACGCAUCAUGCCAUCUCGUCAAGGUAACUGAUGACAAAGAUAUUGUUGUAAGUAUAUUUAUAUUAUUAUUAUUAGACUGGCCUCAGUGGCGUCGUGGUUAGGCCAUCGGUCUACAGGCUGGUAGGUACUGGGUUCGGAUCCCAGUCAAGCCAUGGGAUUUUUAAUCCAGAUA